GUCUGUGUGGGUUUUUUGACAGUGGAGUAGACUCCUCCCAUGGGGCUACAGUCUUGCAAGCCUUGCUCCUCUUGCCUACAAAGUAAGGCGGAAUGCAAACUGGCUUGUGGCUGCUCUGGUGUGUCUGAGGAAUGGAGAUAUUGCUCUGACCGCUGCUGUGACAUCUGCUGCCAGAUGUGUGUGGACGUGUGCUUUGGCUUGUGUUCAGGAGACUGCAGCUACACCUUCUGCACACUCUGCUUCAGCCUGGCACAGAGCUGCAUCCUUCUCUUUACCACUCAAGAAAGUGAAACAUCAGAGGCACAGUGUGAGUCUAAAUGUGGCCGUCCAGCUGUUGUACAAAUUACCUCGCAUCUGCCUGAGUGUAACCUAAAUUAUCUGUUUCAGGAGCUUCCGUGGGCUCAAAACAGUUUGCCUAUCGCAGCUGAACGUCUGAAAGGAAGCACGAGAACAGAAGAUGCUUGAAAACAAUCCACCACUACACCAGUGACGGUGAAGCCAAAUGAAGGUGAAGCUCUGAUGGAGACCUUUACCAGCAGCUCAGGAUUAUCAGCACCCCCAGUGGCGGAGCAAAAGCCCAACGAUCAGAAGUGAUAUUCUACUAUCUGAUGAAGGUGGUAUUUUGUUCAGAGAGCGUCCCGGGAUCGCACCUGUGUGACGGCGGAUACAGCACGUGGACUUUUAUCAUCUUGUUUCCAGUUUAAUAACCGCAGCUCAUUUUAUAAAGAUGGAUUUGUGUCUUCUGUGUCCAGGUGUUUGGAUUGCAAAUGACUUUUAGAGUUUGCAAAUGAACUGUUUUGAGCUGCACUUCAUUUAGAACUUUUAAAAUGGUGGAUUCAGAGUUGGAAGCAAACAGACACAAAGGGAAGGGCUUGAGUUGCUUUAUACGUUUGUAAUUCUCAUUAAAAACAAAUCAGUUAUGUUCAUUAUUAUUAUUUGUUUUUUUAUUGAGGUUUUGUCUUUCUGAAAUCAAAAUUUUAACUUUGGUUCUGUCAAUCAUAGCAAAUGUAUUU